GACCUCGUAGCUCAGUUGGCUAGAGCGUUGGCUCUACUUCCACUUGCUGGCGUGGGUUCGAAUCCCACCGAGGCCG
rnacentral:tRNA from 1 species